rnacentral:rRNA from 1 species
UUGCAGGCUGCAACUCGCCUGCAUGAAGUCGGAAUUGCUAGUAAUCGUAGGUCAGCAUACUACGGUGAAUACGUUCCCGGGCCUUGUACACACCGCCCGUCAAACCAUGAGAGUUGGCAACACCCGAAGUCGGUAGUCUAACCGCAAGGAGGACGCCGCCGAAGGUGGGGUUGAUGAUUAGGGUUAAGUCGUAACAAGGUACC